rnacentral:rRNA from 1 species
UGACCUCGGAUCAGUAGAACCAACUAAGAACA